UUCCUAAGUUUAAUUCACAUCAAAACAUUUAAAACAUUAAUCGAUUAUCAUCCACACAUACACAUUAAUUAUAUGGAGCGCAUAUAAUAACUUAACAAGCCAUUUUCGCAUGGCUAUACAUAUAUACAUCACCAAAAAGAUACGUAAUUAACAUCAAAAGUCAAUCCUAUACAUGCCAUUAUCAAGGUUCAUUUACAAGAGUACCGAAAGGUUUAGAUAGUGUGGACGACUUCGACUUUAGAUCUCCCGAGUCCGAUAGUUCACGAACAAAAUCUAUAAAACAGGGAAUGAAGGCAAAAAGAGUAAGCAUUUCGAUGCUUAGUAAAUCUUAAGUAAUGAAAUCGUUUAUAACUAAAGCAUAGCAUUCAUAAGGCUCAUCAUCUUUCUGACUAAAUGUAGUCAUGAUUAAAUAUACCCCUAUUGUUCAUACAUGUCAUCUUAAAUUUUUCCUUAAACACGAAUUCGUAUCAUGUAGAUAAUCUCUUUUUACCCAACUAACCUCAUAAUUAUGCCGAAUACAUCUAAUUCGAUUACAAAGCUAAAUAAAUGCAAAUACGCAAAAAUCACAUACUUAUGUUACUUCACACUUCAACCCAUAUACUUACAUGCUCAUAGUCAAUCUUAACUUAAUUUCAAUGUAUAUACGGUGCAUACCUGAUCAUCUUAGGGUUGUAAGCCC
rnacentral:lncRNA from 1 species